UACGUAGGGUGCAAGCGUUGUCCGGAAUUGUUGGGCGUAAAGAGCUCGUAGGCGGUUCUGUUACGUCGGCUGUGAAAGCCUGGGGCCUCAACUCCGGAUCUGCGGUGGGUACGGGCAGACUAGAGUGAUGUAGGGGAGACUGGAAUUCCUGGUGUAGCGGUGAAAUGCGCAGAUAUCAGGAGGAACACCGAUGGCGAAGGCAGUUCUCUGGGCCGUAACUGACGCUGAGGAGCGAAAGCGUGGGGAGCGAACAGG
rnacentral:rRNA from 1 species